ensembl:lncRNA
GGAAACUAAAUGGACUAGACCAGGACUAAAACAGGACUAAAACAGGGCUAAACCGGGACUAAACCAGGACUAAACCGGGACUAAAACAGGACUAAUGACAGGCGGGUUGUUCCCGGGCGGAUGGCGGAGCUGAGGCGGGUCCUGGACCAGUUCAGAGGCUGCACUGACGCGGAGUCUCAGUGGCUCCAGGAGCUGUUUGUGUUUGUCCGAGCUCACCUGUGCAGUGGCCCCGCCCCCUCAGAUGACGUCAGGACUUCAGUGUCGGAGCUGAGUUUGGCGCUGGUGAAGAUCCUCCAGGAAAC